AGGACCCAUUCUCACCACAUCCAGGAUAGCUCGGGGCCUUUCUGUUCUCCAUGACGGUAACCCCCCGCGGCCUAGCCUGGAGCCCGAGGAGCCCAAGAGGCCUGUCCCCGCAGAGCGCGGUAGCAGCUCUGGGACGCCCAAGCUGAUCCAGCGGGCGCUGCUGCGCGGCACCGCCCUGCUCGCCUCGCUGGGCCUUGGCCGCGACCUGCAGCCGCCGGGAGGCCCAGGACGCGAGCGCGGGGAGUCCCCGACAACACCCCCCACGCCAACGCCCGCGCCCUGCCCGACCGAGCCGCCCCCUUCCCCGCUCAUCUGCUUCUCGCUCAAGACGCCCGACUCCCCGCCCACUCCUGCACCCCUGUUGCUGGACCUGGGUAUCCCUGUGGGCCAGCGGUCAGCCAAGAGCCCCCGACGUGAGGAGGAGCCCCGCGGAGGCACUGUCUCACCCCCACCGGGGACAUCACGCUCUGCUCCUGGCACCCCAGGCACCCCACGUUCACCACCCCUGGGCCUCAUCAGCCGACCUCGGCCCUCGCCCCUUCGCAGCCGCAUUGAUCCCUGGAGCUUUGUGUCAGCUGGGCCACGGCCUUCUCCCCUGCCAUCACCACAGCCUGCACCCCGCCGAGCACCCUGGACCUUGUUCCCGGACUCAGACCCCUUCUGGGACUCCCCACCUGCCAACCCCUUCCAGGGGGGCCCCCAGGACUGCAGGGCACAGACCAAAGACAUGGGUGCCCAGGCCCCGUGGGUGCCGGAAGCGGGGCCUUGAGUGGGCCAGGCCACUCCCCCGAGCUCCAGCUGCCUUAGGAGGAGUCACAGCAUACACUGGAACAGGAGCUGGGUCAGCCUCUGCAGCUGCCUCAGUUUCCCCAGGGACCCCACCCCCCUUUGGGGGUCAGGAACACUACACUGCACAGGAAGCCUUCACACUGGAAGGGGGACCUGCGCCCCCACAUCUGAAACCUGUAGGUCCCCCCAGCUCACCUGCCCUACUGGGGCCCAACACUGUACCCAGCUGGUUGGGAGGACCAGAGCCUGUCUCAGGGAAUUGCCUGCUGGGGUGAUGCAGGGAGGAGGGGAGGUGCAGGGAAGAGGGGCCGGCCUCAGCUGUCACCAGCACUUUUGACCAAGUCCUGCUACUGCGGCCCCUGCCCUAGGGCUUAGAGCAUGGACCUCCUGCCCUGGGGGUCAUCUGGGGCCAGGGCUCUCUGGAUGCCUUCCUGCUGCCCCAGCCAGGGUUGGAGUCUUAGCCUCGGGAUCCAGUGAAGCCAGAAGCCAAAUAAACUCAAAAGCUGUCUCCCCAC
rnacentral:lncRNA from 1 species